rnacentral:rRNA from 1 species
UACGUAGGAGGCAAGCGUUGUCCGGAUUUAUUGGGCGUAAAGCGCACGCAGGCGGUGAGGUCAGUCUAGGGUGACAGUGUCCGGCUUAACCGGAUAAGUGCUCUGGAGACGGCCUGACUUGAGGGCUUCAGAGGGAUGUGGAAUUCCAGGUGGAGUGGUGAAAUGCGUAGAGAUCUGGAAGAACACCAAAGGCGAAGGCAACAUCCUGGGAAGCAACUGACGCUCGGGUGCGAAAGCUAGGGGAGCGAACGGG